AACCAGGCAAUCACUCAUGAGAAUGCUUUAGCCAUCUUCAGACAGGGUUUGGGUUAUCAUGAUAGCACUGCGAGCUUGUAAGGUCCUUGUCUUCUCUGCAUGCUGGCUUCUCCCAUUGUGCUGUUUACUGGCUCAGCAGGAUGACAAUGUAGCUACUCCAGGGAAAUAGCUUUGAAAAAAAUAGUCCAUGGUCAUACACUGAAAGAGAACAUCUAAGUUUUAUGCAAGUCAGAUAUCGUGGUGGUGGUGGCAGCUAUGUUGUUAUAAAGUAUUUGGGUCUACAUUUCUCUGAUUGAUUAAAAAAAAAGUUUGGUAUCAAAAGGACACAGACCUUGAACAGUAAGGAACAGGACAAGUCAAAAUGAAGACACGUAUUAUCUGUAUGAUCUUGGGCAAGGCACUUUACCCUGUUUGCCUCAGUUUUCUCAUAUGAAAAUGAGCCAGAGAAGAAAAUGGCAACCUACUCCAGUAUCUUUGCCAAGAAAACUCCAAAUGGGAUUAUGAAGAGCCAGGCAUGACUGAACAACAGCAGCAAAAAAUUUUCCAGGUUGCCUCUGGAAGAAAACUUGGGAAAUGGCACACUGAUAUAAAAAUGUAUCUAAAGGACUUGUUUUGUCCCUUUUCAGUGAACAUGGAGCUUAUUAAAGGAACCCAUAGAAGGGAAGACAAUGUUUCUAGUAACAUGAUAACCAGAAUGAAGACAGAAUUUAUAUUCUGGGUUUGA
rnacentral:lncRNA from 1 species